UACGAAGGGGGCCAGCGUUGCUCGGAAUCACUGGGCGUAAAGGGUGCGUAGGCGGGUCUUUAAGUCAGGGGUGAAAUCCUGGAGCUCAACUCCAGAACUGCCUUUGAUACUGAGGAUCUUGAGUUCGGGAGAGGUGAGUGGAACUGCGAGUGUAGAGGUGAAAUUCGUAGAUAUUCGCAAGAACACCAGUGGCGAAGGCGGCUCACUGGCCCGAUACUGACGCUGAGGCACGAAAGCGUGGGGAGCAAACAGGG
rnacentral:rRNA from 1 species